ensembl:piRNA 21ur-11528 ncRNA
UGUUUGGUCAUGAUAAAAAUG